GACGAACGCUGGCGGCGUGCUUAACACAUGCAAGUCGAACGGAAAGGCCCUGCUUUUGUGGGGUGCUCGAGUGGCGAACGGGUGAGUAACAAGUGAGUAACCUGCCCCUGACUUUGGGAUAACUUCAGGAAACUGGGGUUAAUACCGGAUAGGAGCUCCUGCUGCAUGGGGGGGGUUGGAAAGUUUCGGCGGUUGGGGAUGGACUCGCGGUUUAUCAGCUGGUUGGGGGGGUGGUGGCUUACCAAGGCUUUGACGGGUAGCCGGCCUGGGCGGGUGACCGGCCACAUUGGGACUGGGUUACGGCCCAGACUCCUACGGGGGGAAGCAGUGGGAAAUAUUGCACAAUGGGCGGAAGCCUGAUGCAGCAACGCCGCGUGCGGGAUGAGGGCCUUCGGGUUGUAAACCGCUUUCGCCUGUGACGAAGCGGGAGUGACGGUAAUGGGUAAAGAAGCACCGGCUAACUACGUG
rnacentral:rRNA from 1 species